rnacentral:rRNA from 1 species
AGCGAACGCUGGCGGCAGGCCUAACACAUGCAAGUCGAACGAAGUCUUCGGACUUAGUGGCGGACGGGUGAGUAACACGUGGGAACGUACCUUUUGGUUCGGAACAACUCAGGGAAACUUGAGCUAAUACCGGAUGAGCCCUUAGGGGGAAAGAUUUAUCGCCGAAAGAGCGGCCCGCGUUAGAUUAGCUUGUUGGGGAGGUAAAGGCUCACCAAGGCUACGAUCUAUAGCUGGUAUGAGAGGAUGAUCAGCCACACUGGGACUGAGACACGGCCCAGACUCCUACGGGAGGCAGCAGUGGGGAAUCUUGCGCAAUGGGCGAAAGCCUGACGCAGCCAUGCCGCGUGAAUGAUGAAGGUCUUAGGAUUGUAAAAUUCUUUUACCAGGGACGAUAAUGACGGUACCUGGAGAAAAAGCCCCGGCUAACUUCGUGCCAGCCGCCGCAGUAAAAC